rnacentral:hammerhead_ribozyme from 1 species
ACCAGCUGAUGAGUCCCAAAUAGGACGAAAUGCGCAUCCCGGAU